rnacentral:lncRNA from 1 species
GGGCCACACCUGCCUCACAUGGAGGUUCCCAGACGAGGGGUCUAAUUGGAGCUACAGCUGCUGGCCUACAUACACCACAGCCACAGCAACAGCAACGUGAGAUCCGAGCCAUGUCUGCGACCUACACCACAGCUCAGGGCAAGGCUGGAUCCUUAGCUCAGGACAAGGCUGGAUCCUUAGCCCAGUGAGCGAGGCCAGGGAUCAAACCCACAACCUCAUGGUUCCUAGUAGGAAUCAUUUCUGCUGCACCACAAUGGGAACUCCUCAGAUACUUUCAAUGAAAGCUCAUAAUAAACCCCCAAACUUCUUAUUGAGGAUUAAACGAGAUGAUUUGGGGGAAGUGCUUUAACAGAAUUUGGCUCACUAAAUAAUAGUUAAUAUUAUUUUAAUAUUAUAAUAAUGGGACUAUUUUAAAGUAAUUUUAAAGUUUGAUGGGGGCUCUGCACAUAUGAAGUUUUAUUGCUCUUAUUUAAUCAUCAAGACAACAUCUUAUCAGCUCCAUCAUGAGAGAUAAGGUCAGUCCUUAGAGCUUUGGGUUUAGUAGGGUACAGAACUUCACAUCUGUGAUUUCACCUAAAUGUGUAGUUCUGACCCCCAAACCAAGAAGGUAAAAUAGAGUUCCAAGUAAAACUCACUACAGUGAUAAAUGAGCUUCGGAGUCAGAAGAAAUUAAGUAAUAAUCUUUGGAAUCUAUAGUGCUGUACAGAGAGGCAAAGAGUUUCUGGACUUCCACGUCACUACCCUGCCCUACCCUGUCUUAAGUGUUGUCCUAAAGAACAGCAAGGACUCAAAAGACCAAAAACUGCAAAUUAAGACAUUAAUCGAGGCCUCAUCUUUGUUAAUGCAAGCCAUAUUUUCCCAAUGGGGAAAAUGCUAAUGAAACAAAGUGCUCUUCAGGAGCAAACUCUAAACAAUACUUUGUAUUAUUCUCUAUUACUUAAUAAGAUUUUGCAUCUAACUUGCAGCCUCUAGACUUUAAUGACAGUAUAUAGCUAGUUGACAUACAAGUCAGUACUAAUGGAGAAAAGGCAAUUUCCCAUCAAACAAUAUGUUUCUUCAGUGGUAAAGAUCAAUAUAAAUAAUUUUAAAAAAUGGUAAAGGUCAACAUACUGAAAGAGAGCUAUACAUAUCUAGGCUUUCAACAACAGACAGGAAUAAAUCAUUCAACAAUCAAAAAAAAUCUGAAGAUAGCACUCUUCACUCUCAGAGAAAAUAUUUAGAUCAUAUCUCAAAACAGAUAGUAGACUACUAGAACUACUCCUAAAGUGAUCAUUUGGUAUUAUAAAAAGAUCAUUUUUGUAUAAUAAAACUUGGAAAGAAAAAUUAAAAAAUGAAGAAAAAUUAUAAAGUAACAAUUCAGUACUUUAUGAUUCUUAUCAAUAUCGUCUUGGUCAAGAUUUUGUAUUUGGUUAACACUGGCUACCUAUGGGGAGGCAAGCAAAAUAGGGAGCUGAACAGGAACAUUUACUUUUAUUCUAUAUAUCAUGUAUCAUUUGAAUCUGGGGCAUGAAUCUAUAUUCAUAUAUUAUUUUUUAAAUGCUUUAAGGUUAGGAAAUAUUCUAUAGUUAAAAUGAAGAACUGUGCCAAUUUAAGACUUAGAGUCUAAGUGGUAAAUCUUGAACCUAAAAUGAGAAUUUUUCUAAAAUAUGAUAUAUAUAUUAUAUAUGUGGACAACUUAUAUAAACAAAGGUUCACAGGGAUAUACAAGUUACUAAAUCAUGAUUAUGUCUGGAGAGUAGGAUUAUGGAUACCUUUCUUCUUUCCUCAUUUGUAUUCUAUAAUUUUCUAUAAUAAGCAUGGAUUGAUUUGUGAUAAGAAAAAUAUUACUAAGAAAAAGGUAGGAUAAACACAUUUUCAUAUAUUCACAUAAUGUAAUAUUAACCACCAAUAAAAAAGAAUGAAUUCUGAUAUCCACAACAUGAAUGAAUCUCAAGUGUCUUAUGUGAAACAAGCCAUUUCAAUACAUCCUGUGUGAUUUUUAUUUGUCUAACAGUUUAAAGUCUAACAAUUUCUAUAAUGAUAGAAAUUCCAAAAGUGGUUAUGGGGGGUGAAAUAAGGUGAGAAUUGGUUACAAGAGGGCACAAAGGAACUUUCUGGACUGAUUAAAAUGUUCUAUUGUUUUGGGUGAUAGUUACAUGGAUGUGUACAAUUUUUUUUUUUUGUCUUUUUUUGUCUUUUUGCUAUUUCUUUGGGCCGCUCCCGCAGCAUAUGGAGGUUCCCAGACUAGGGAAAAAAAAAAAAAAAAAAAAAAAAAAGAUGUGAUACACACACACACACACAUACAUUACUCAGCAUUAAAAAAAAAGACAAAAUAAUGCCAUUUGCAGAAACAUGGAUGCAACUAGAGAUUAUCACCAUACUGAGUGAAGUAAGUCAGAAAGAGAAAGACAAAUGCCACAUGUCACUUAUAAGUGGAAUUUAAAAUAUGGCACAAAUGAACCUAUCUACAAAACAGAAACAGACUCACAGACAUAGAGAACAGACUUGUUGCCAAGGGGGAGGGGGAGGAAGAGGGAUGGACUGGGAGUUUGGGGUUAGUGAAUACAAACUAUUACAUUUAGAAAGGAUAAACAGAAUUCCCAUGGUGGUGCAGUGGCUUAAGAAUCUGACUGCAGCAGCUUGGGUUGCUAUGGAGGCUCAGGUUCAAUCCUCGGCCUGAUGCAGUGGGAUAAAGGAUCCAGCACUGCCACAGCUGAGCCACAGGUCACAGCUGCAGCACAGAUUCAGUCCCUGGCCCGGGAACUUCCAUAUGCUGUGGAUAUGGCCAUUAAAAAUAUACAUAUAUAGGAGUUCCGGUCAUGGCUCAGCAAUUAAACCCUGCUGGUAU